UACGGAGGGAGCUAGCGUUAUUCGGAAUUACUGGGCGUAAAGCGCACGUAGGCGGCUUUGUAAGUAAGAGGUGAAAGCCCAGAGCUCAACUCUGGAAUUGCCUUUUAGACUGCAUCGCUUGAAUCAUGGAGAGGUCAGUGGAAUUCCGAGUGUAGAGGUGAAAUUCGUAGAUAUUCGGAAGAACACCAGUGGCGAAGGCGGCUGACUGGCCCGAUACUGACGCUGAGGCACGAAAGCGUGGGGAGCAAACAGG
rnacentral:rRNA from 1 species